AGAUGUCCUGUUGAUUCCGGAUGUCUCUUAAAUGGUGGAUCCCAGCGUCUUCAGUUCGGUCCCUGGAAAAAGAAAAAAGCUCACAGCAGCACAAGAUGUGAGAAGGGACCAAGUAAUGGCCAUGCUGCCCUCUGCAAUACUUGGCAAAGAGGAGACCAAACAUUGUUAAUGCAAGCUUUCCUUUUCGAUGUCUAUGCUUACCUAAAUCUUAUUUUGCUUCAAAAUAUAAAAGAAAAAAAGAUUUUCGAUGGCGCCAUUUCCACACUUUCUUUUACAGUUUGUUGUUUUGUUGUAAUUCUAUUGUUAUAAUUUAUGAC
rnacentral:lncRNA from 1 species